GCCCCCAUAGUCAUAUUAGAAAUAGGAGGAGAACCUCAUCCUAACAUGAGCAAAAAUGAAGGCUCGAUUAUUUAGAGACCGGAUGGAGAGAGAGGCCCUCGCAACGGCCCUUAUGCGCCCCCAUAGCCAUGAUUAGGAACAGGAGGAGAACCUCAUCCUAACAUGAGCAAAAAUGAAGGCCCGAUUAUUUAGAGACCAGAUGGAGAGAGAGGCCCUCGCAACGGCCCUUAUGUGCCCCCAUAGCCAUGUUAGGAAUAGGAGGAGAACCUCAUCCUAACAUGAGCAAAAAUGAAGGUCCGAUUAUUUAGAGAUCAGAUGAGGGGAGAGGCCCUCGCAACGACCCUUAUGCACCCCCACAGCCAUGUUAGGAACAGGAGGAGAAGCUUGUCCUAACAUGAGCAAAGUCAAAGACCUGAUUAUUUAGAGAUCGGAUGGAAGGAGAGGCCCUCGCAACGGCCCUUAUGCGCCCCCACAGGCAUGUUAGGAACAGGAGGAGAAUCUCAUCCUAACAUGAGCAAAGUCGAAGACCUGAUUAUUAAGAGACCGGAUGGGGGGGAGGCCCUCAUGACGGCCCUUAUGUGCCCCCACAGUCCUGUUAGGAACAUGAGAAAAACCUCAUCCUAACAUAAGCUGAAAUUGACUGUGUCAGGAACAGGAAGAGAACCUCAUCCUGAUACAAACGAAGACCUGAUCGUUUAAGACCGGAUGAGAGGAAAAGCCUCUUCAACGGCUCCUCUACACCCUUACAAUCCCAUUAGGAGCAGAGAGAAAACCCUCGCCCAAAUAUAAAAAAAAAGAGGAAGAGAGAAAAAGGGAAAGCGAUGAGCUACACCAGAGAUAAGAAAAAAAUAAACUACAUCUAAGAUACAAGGGACCUCAUCUCAACGAGGAAGAAAACUCUUGUCAAAAAUCUUUAGUCUCUAAGGGGGAACCCAACACUAGCAGGAGAAAAUAGACUUCCUCAAAGUAACGAAAAAUUCGGGCCCCAAGCUUAAACACCGGGAGAAAGCAUUAGAUUCGAAUGGCCUCGAAAAGACCUUCAGUCAUGAACAAAAAGGAAGAAUCAACACGGCGA
rnacentral:lncRNA from 1 species